UUGCUUUAUAUUAAAGUGACAUUAUAUCACUUUAUUUGUAUUUUUUGUAUACGAGUUAAUUUGCUGGAGAUUAAAAGUGAUACAUUUUGUCACCAUUUUUUUUUUUUAAUCUCACAGUAUUUCAUUUGUAUUCUUUUUGCAAGUAUGAAUAAAAUUAAUGUUUUGGGGGCAAAUGAAAACUAGAUAACGAAUAUAAAAAAUAUAAAAUGACUAAAAUUAUUGUUCCUAUAGAAUGCACAUAAAACCACCUUUGUUAAAACGUAAAUUUUACUUUUUGUUAAAAAUGACGUAUCAUGUCACUUUUUAAGAAUCUAAGUUUUGAUUCUGUUAAAAAGAGGCUAAAUUGUCCUUAUUAUAAUUGAUUUGCAUUUCUAUCAAAAAAAUAAUUGGCAUAUCUACAAUUUUAUUUAAGUUCGAAGAAUAAAAAAGUGACAUAGUCAGGGUUAAGGAUGAAUAUUAAUAAGUCUAACUUGUACAUGGCGGGGGUUCAUGGGCAAGUGAAGGAGGAAAUUCAUGAGAUUGUGAACAUCUCUAAAGGUUCAUUACCUUUUCGAUACUUGGGCAUCCCUCUUGUGGUGAAGAAGUUUGAAAAUUAGCACCUAUGAUCUAUUUAUUAACAAAAUCACAGCUUAGAUUGGGGCUCGGUUGAGAGCAUCUUUAUCUUAUGCAGGAAGAAUGGAGCUUGUGAGAGCUGUGCUUCAAGGGGUUGAAUGUUUUUGGCUAUUCAUCUUUCCCAUUCCAACCACGGUUGCUUCUAGAGUCAUAUCUCUAUGCCAGAAUUUUCUUUGGAGUUACAACAAACCAUUGGUUGCUUGGAGUAAUUUAUGCCUUCCAAAGGAAGAAGGUGGACUUGGGCUUAGGGACAUCAAAACCUAGAACUCGGCUCUUCUUGCCAAAGCACUUCGAAUAUUCAUUGUAAGAAGGAUACUAUAUAUGGAUCAAAUGGGUUAAUCAAGUAUUCCUUUGGGAUAGUAACAUCUGGACAUAUUUGCCAAGGAAAGGGAACUCUCCUCUGUUAAAAAAACUGCGGGAUAUUAGGGAUUGCAUGUAGGGCAAAAUUCCACAGCCAACACGUGCAAAAUCGGGCUCAGUUUACCAAAAAC
rnacentral:lncRNA from 1 species